UUUAGGGAGUGAUUUGUGAAGAAUUUCUGUUUUUGCUCUUUAUCUCGUCUUUAAUUUGUGUAGGUGCAUAUUGGGAUUUGCAUGCAAUAGCUCCUUCUUUUUUUUUUUCUUUUUUUUAAUAUUUGUGGAUGUUACCUCAUCCCAUCUAUCUCUCUUUUGUUAGACGUAGAGAGGAGAGAGGAAAACACUCCAUACCACCCUUACUGACAAGGGACAGAGAGUGGAGGGGCCUGCCCUGUGCCCUCUCCCUAUGACAUGGCACCAAUUAAGCCUUCAAUGGGUUGAUCAAGAGCUCUAAGGGAGCUCAUCUUGUACUAUCAAAGAGUUAUCGUAGACCCAUGUUUCGCCAUAUUAGACUAUACUGGUAGCAAAUUGAUAUUUGGUUGGUGUACUGAGUGUCAGUACCUUGAACCAACUCAUACUAAUUACUGUACUAGCAUGGUACUAGGACAGGUAUUGAAACCAAUAAUAUAAACCAUGAUUUCUCCUUUGUGUUGGCUAACCACAAACAAGAAUGAGGGAGAGGGCGUAAGGGGAGAAUGUAGGGAGGGAAAAAGAGAAAGAAGAUAAGAAAGAUAGGAGAAGAAGGAGCUCGAGGACCUUUAAACAUUGAAAUUUAGAAGCCCCCUUUUAUCCACUUUAAGUUUUCUCCAAAGAACUCUGUUUCCUAUUCCUUAGGAGGAGCAUGAUGCUUGUUUAAGCUUCACAUGUAAUCCGUCUGAUGGACUAUACUGAAAUUGAAAGGCCCAAGUUAACAUGGACACUUUGAAAUCUUCCAUGAGACCAAACUUGCUUGCUUUGGUGGUUUUCGUACCUUGACGUGUAUCUAAAUUGAACCUGCAUGAUUUUGCCAGUUUGUCCUGCUCCUAAUGGAGCAAAUCGAGAUCACUUGAUUGCUUUCUUAUUUGAUCUGUUGGAUCUGAUGUGGAUCGCAAAGUAUUGUCUAAUCUUGUCUGUUGAUAUUGGCUCCGAUCAUAAUAACUUAAAUCUCAUCAAAUUUAUAUGAUUUGAUAUGGAUUUCAAGGUCGAUGGUCCGAGCUCGUCCAAUGAGAUAAGUUCAUAUUAGCGGGCUCGCAGAUCUAAUUGGAUUUUAUGGAUCUGAUGUUAAUAAUUCAUUUGAUAAUUUAAUGGAUGUUCAUGUUGAGAUGAAUAGACGAUAUAAUUAGUGCAUAUAGAGGGCUCACGAAUCUAGUUGGAUUUGAUGGAUCUGAUGUUAAUAAAUCAUUAGAUAAUUUAAUGGAUGUUCGCAUUGAGAUGAAUAGAUAUAAUUAGUUGAGUUUUAUCUGAUGCUCAUCGACUAUGUGCACUGAAAAUGAGAAGGCAAUAUUGCCUUCCCGAUUCCUCAUCUUAGCGGGACUUUCGAUCAUGCUGGGUUGGGCAAUUAUUUUAUUCGUUUUAGUUAUUAGGCAAUCCACUAAGACAUAUGCUAGACGCCCUCCAAAUGUAAUCCAAGGAUAGUAAGGCGAUGAGGGAUGUGCCUCCUUUCAACUCUCACCGUCUUUCUGUUCCCCGGAGAAUUGAACUGUCUCGACUCGAGCACUUACGGCAGACGUCAUUGCAUCACAAUUGUAGAUAGUCCUUCCAUUGCUUGAUUUGGAGAUGCCGGAUUGACAUGCUUGAUCUGGAUGGACAUAUGGGCCUCCUUUCUUUGGAAGUAGAAGUUAUUCAAACAAAUGAUGCCUUUAUGGAUUAUACUUAUAGUCCCAUCAUAUAUUAAAUUAUAAAAAUUAUGACUAUUUUGUUAAAAAAGAAACUAUUUUUUACAAAUUUUAAUAAUAAGUACUUUAUUGAUAAUACCAUUAAUAUACAGUGGCUUGAAACCUCAAAACUUUGUAGAUAUUUUUUAUAUAUUUGAAGCUGUUUUUACAAUGAUAAUAUUAGUUGUUAUAACUAAACUACAAUGGUGACAUUAUAC
rnacentral:lncRNA from 1 species